rnacentral:tRNA from 1 species
GAAAAAGUUCUCUGGCAAAGAAAGCGUCCGGAAAUCAAUGAUAGGCAAGGAGCGUUACAGAAGGGGCUACGUGGCGUUCCCCAAGUUGAUGCUGAAGGAGGCCGUGGAAGGCUAUGUCGGCUUGGGCUACGAGAUGCCCUGCGUCGUGUGCGGCUCGCGGCGGAGCGAGAGCCACGACCGACGCUGCAGGACGCUGAUGCUGGCGCUGCGGCAAAAGUUGCUUCGCGUCAAGUUUUGAUGAGCCAAGAAUACCGUUGAUGAAGAUUAAAAAAAAAAGGGCCCUAUUCAAUUUCUUUCUACGCCUGCCUCCUUUGCUUUACGCGUACCAAUUAAAUUAUACUGUACGAAAUGCGCCUUGUACUCCUUUCUUUCAUAACUGUUUUAUAUUAUUAAAUAAACUUUUGGCAUUUAAUCAAAUGUUUUGCCUGUUUGGUCUGUUUUAUUUUUCGUUUAAAAUGGUCAGCCCUUGCACGCAGCUGUCUGCUUGCAUCAUCAUCAUCAUCAUGUUCAUCAUCAUGUUCAUCAUCAUGUUCGGGCCUGUGGCACGGGUGGAGGUAGAAGGGAGGAAAGGAGAAGGAAAAAUAAAAAACAAAGAAAAUGGGGUCGUGCCUGACCCCGGGAGGACGAGGGACGGGGAGGUACAGGGGGCUGGAGUCGCGCCAGACCCCGGGAGGACACCUGACGGGGAGGUUCCGUGGACUGGGGUCGCGCCGGACCCCGGCAGGACGAGGGACGGGGAGGUACAGGGGGCAGGGGUCGCGCCUGACCCCAGGAGGAUGCGGGACGGGGAGGUACAGGGAGCUGGGGUCGCGCCGGACCCCGGGAGGACACCUGACGGAGAGGUACAGGGAGCUGGGGUCACGCCGGACCCCGGCAGGACGCCUGACGGGGAGGUUUCGUGGGCUGGGGUCGCACCGGACCACGGCAGGACGAGGGACAGGGAGGUACAGGGGGCUGGGGUCACGCCGGACCCCGGGAGGACGCCUGACGGGGAGGUUCUUUGGGCAGGGGUCGCGCCUGACCCCGGCAGGACGAGGGGCAGGGAGGUACAGGGGGCUGGGGUCGCGCCUGACCCCGGGAGGAUGCGGGACGGGGAGGUACAGGGGGCUGGGGUCGCGCCGGACCCCGGGAGGACACCUGACGGAGAGGUACAGGGAGCUGGGGUAACGCCCACGUUCCGUGGGCCGGGCUCGCGCCGGACCCCGAGAAGACGAGGGACGGGCCUGUGACGAAGAAGAAGGGAGGGGUGACCGAGCCGCCGCGGAUCCUGCGACGCUAGGUGCCUUGUGGCCAAAAAAAGUAAAAAGAAUCAAAAGUUUCAUAGUUUGUCUCGUGGGGUCAGACUGAUACACUCGAAGGCUGCGUGAGGGUUAAAGAGGAAGUCAAUGUGCAACAUGGUAUGGGUUUCUGUCAUGUAGUGGUUAUCACGUUUGCUUCACACGCAAAAGGUCCCUUGUUUGAUGCCAGGCAGAAAAAGGUAAGUUUUUC